rnacentral:tRNA from 1 species
AGCCUAAGGUUGGAAUCGAACCAACGUUAACGGAUUAACAGUCCGUCGUACUACCACUGUACUACUAAGGC